GUGCUUGCUUCGGCAACACAUAUACUAAAAUUGGAAUGAUACAGAAAUUAGCACGACCCCUGUGUAAGGAUGACAUGCAAAUUGUGAAGCAUUCCAUAUUUUU